rnacentral:rRNA from 1 species
GUAGGUGGCAAGCGUUGUCCGGAAUUAUUGGGCGUAAAGCGCGCGCAGGCGGUUCUUUAAGUCUGAUGUGAAAGCCCACGGCUCGACCGUGGAGGGUCAUUGGAAACUGGAGAACUUGAGUACAGAAGAGGAAAGCGGAAUUCCACGUGUAGCGGUGAAAUGCGUAGAGAUGUGGAGGAACACCAGUGGCGAAGGCGGCUUUCUGGUCUGUAACUGACGCUGAGGCGCGAAAGCGUGGGGAGCAAACAGGGAUUAGAUACCCUGGUAGUCCACGCCGUAAACGAUGAGUGCUAAGUGUUAGGGGGUUUCCGCCCCCUUAGUGCUGCAGCUAACGCAUUAAGCACUCCGCCUGGGGAUACGGCCGCAAGGCUG